rnacentral:rRNA from 1 species
AUGGGCGCAGAGGUGAUCGACGCAGACUUCCAUGACCCGGUGGGCGUCGUGCUCUUUAACAACUCGGAGGCGUACUUUGCUGUGAAUCCCGACGACCGCGUAACACAGAUGAUUAUCCAGGUGAUUGUGAUGCCGGAGGUCACCGAGGUGGAGGACCUUGACGUCACCGUCCGGAGGUCGUCGAGGUGGAGGACCUCGAUGCCACUGUCUUGA